rnacentral:lncRNA from 11 species
UUCCUGCCUUGUGCCGCCUCCUCCUCCCUGAAAGAACCCACAGUUUGUUUGCCCUCCUCCUAUUCAUGAUAUUUCCUCGGAGGCCAUAGGUCCAAAUCCACUUUGAAUUUGCUUUUUGUAAACUGUGAUGACAGCCCCAAAGGCUGUGUGUUUUCAAAGGAAUGCUAAAAAUGCUGACAAUGGAAAACUAGUAGAAAUUAAGAACAUGUCAUACUCUCUGUGUUCACAAGUCUCAGAUUUAUGUUCUCCUCUUCCUUUUAUUGCCUUUGUACUACCAUUAACUUCACCUGGCAAAUAUCCUUUUAUAGUAUUGCCACCUCAACUGUUUUGCCUCUACUCACUCCAAUGAUAUUACUGGGUGGGUGGGGGGUUGUUCAGGUAGACAAAAUUGCAUUUGUGACUUUUUCUAGGGUUUUAAACACAUUGAUGACAUGCUCAAAAUAAUAAAAAGUUUUGAAUGCUCAUGGUAUAUAGCACUAUAUAAAAUAAAAACAUAGAUGAA